UAGUCAUAUGCUUGUCUCAAAGAUUAAGCCAUGCAUGUCUAAGUAUAAGCAAUUUGUACUGUGAAACUGCGAAUGGCUCAUUAAAUCAGUUAUCGUUUAUUUGAUAGUACCUUACUACAUGGAUACCUGUGGUAAUUCUAGAGCUAAUACAUGCUAAAAACCUCGACUUCGGAAGGGGUGUAUUUAUUAGAUAAAAAACCAACGCCCUUCGGGGCUCCUUGGUGAAUCAUAAUAACUAAGCGAAUCGCAUGGCCUUGCGCCGGCGAUGGUUCAUUCAAAUUUCUGCCCUAUCAACUUUCGAUGGUAAGAUAGUGGCUUACCAUGGUGGCAACGGGUAACGGGGAAUUAGGGUUCGAUUCCGGAGAGGGAGCCUGAGAAACGGCUACCACAUCCAAGGAAGGCAGCAGGCGCGCAAAUUACCCAAUCCCGACACGGGGAGGUAGUGACAAUAAAUACUGAUACGGGGCUCUUUUGGGUCUCGUAAUUGGAAUGAGUACAAUCUAAAUCCCUUAACGAGGAACAAUU
rnacentral:rRNA from 1 species